rnacentral:tRNA from 1 species
UCGGGGAUCGGCUAACGGUAGGCCACCGGGUUUUGAUCCCGGCGAUGGAGGUUCAAGUCCUCCUCCCCGAU